rnacentral:rRNA from 1 species
AAAUUUGGAAAGCUGAGCACCUCCGGUGUCCGCGUUGUAAUCUCGAGACGUGUUUUCCGUGCGGCUCUAUGGACAAGUCCCUUGGAAUAGGGCAUCGUAGAGGGUGAGAAUCCCGUACUUGCCAUGGAAGAACCGUGCUUUGCGAUACACGCUCUAAGAGUCGAGUUGUUUGGGAUUGCAGCUCAAAAUGGGUGGUAGACUCCAUCUAAAGCUAAAUAUCGGGGAGAGACCGAUAGCGAACAAGUACCGUGAGGGAAAGAUGAAAAGCACUUUGGAAAGAGAGUUAAAAGUACGUGAAAUUGUCGAAAGGGAAGCACUUGAAGUCAGCCAUGCUGCUUGAGACUCAGCCUGGCCUUUGGGCUUGGUGUAUUUCUCGGUGGCAAGCCAGCAUUGGUUUGGGUCGUCGGAGAAGCGCAUAGGGAAUGU